CUCUCCCUUCACUUAGGCAGCACCCACCUGCUCUCUCCCUCUCCCUCCCUCAUUUCACUUCCGUGCUCCCUCUCUCCUCAACUGGACAAGCCAAGGAGAGCAAGAGCUCUCCCUCCCCCUCAAGCUCCCUCUCUGAUUUCCUCCCAAAAUCCCACCUCAAAAGAAGCAAUCGAGCACAAGGAGCAAAGGCGUUCUUCCUCUUUCUGAGCUUUUCCUCCUUCAACUGACAGUCCCCAAGUUCAGCAAAGCAUCUUGAGUGCUACUGGUAAGGAGAAGUUAGUCUUUGGCUACUUCACGCUCGCCAAGGGUAGCGACGGGUAUGAGUAGACAUCUACUCGGUGGUCGUGCUUUUGUGAUGGAGUUUAAAGGCAUAUAACUA